rnacentral:rRNA from 2 species
AAAUUGAAGAGUUUGAUCAUGGCUCAGAUUGAACGCUGGCGGCAGGCCUAACACAUGCAAGUCGAGCGGAAACGAGUUAUCUGAACCUUCGGGGGACGAUAACGGCGUCGAGCGGCGGACGGGUGAGUAAUGCCUAGGAAAUUGCCCUGAUGUGGGGGAUAACCAUUGGAAACGAUGGCUAAUACCGCAUGAUGCCUACGGGCCAAAGAGGGGGACCUUCGGGCCUCUCGCGUCAGGAUAUGCCUAGGUGGGAUUAGCUAGUUGGUGAGGUAAGGGCUCACCAAGGCGACGAUCCCUAGCUGGUCUGAGAGGAUGAUCAGCCACACUGGAACUGAGACACGGUCCAGACUCCUACGGGAGGCAGCAGUGGGGAAUAUUGCACAAUGGGCGCAAGCCUGAUGCAGCCAUGCCGCGUGUGUGAAGAAGGCCUUCGGGUUGUAAAGCACUUUCAGUCGUGAGGAAGGUAGUGUAGUUAAUAGCUGCAUUAUUUGACGUUAGCGACAGAAGAAGCACCGGCUAACUCCGUGCCAGCAGCCGCGGUAAUACGGAGGGUGCGAGCGUUAAUCGGAAUUACUGGGCGUAAAGCGCAUGCAGGUGGUUUGUUAAGUCAGAUGUGAAAGCCCGGGGCUCAACCUCGGAAUUGCAUUUGAAACUGGCAGACUAGAGUACUGUAGAGGGGGGUAGAAUUUCAGGUGUAGCGGUGAAAUGCGUAGAGAUCUGAAGGAAUACCGGUGGCGAAGGCGGCCCCCUGGACAGAUACUGACACUCAGAUGCGAAAGCGUGGGGAGCAAACAGGAUUAGAUACCCUGGUAGUCCACGCCGUAAACGAUGUCUACUUGGAGGUUGUGGCCUUGAGCCGUGGCUUUCGGAGCUAACGCGUUAAGUAGACCGCCUGGGGAGUACGGUCGCAAGAUUAAAACUCAAAUGAAUUGACGGGGGCCCGCACAAGCGGUGGAGCAUGUGGUUUAAUUCGAUGCAACGCGAAGAACCUUACCUACUCUUGACAUCCAGAGAACUUUCCAGAGAUGGAUUGGUGCCUUCGGGAACUCUGAGACAGGUGCUGCAUGGCUGUCGUCAGCUCGUGUUGUGAAAUGUUGGGUUAAGUCCCGCAACGAGCGCAACCCUUAUCCUUGUUUGCCAGCGAGUAAUGUCGGGAACUCCAGGGAGACUGCCGGUGAUAAACCGGAGGAAGGUGGGGACGACGUCAAGUCAUCAUGGCCCUUACGAGUAGGGCUACACACGUGCUACAAUGGCGCAUACAGAGGGCAGCCAACUUGCGAAAGUGAGCGAAUCCCAAAAAGUGCGUCGUAGUCCGGAUUGGAGUCUGCAACUCGACUCCAUGAAGUCGGAAUCGCUAGUAAUCGUGGAUCAGAAUGCCACGGUGAAUACGUUCCCGGGCCUUGUACACACCGCCCGUCACACCAUGGGAGUGGGCUGCAAAAGAAGUAGGUAGUUUAACCUUCGGGGGGACGCUUACCACUUUGUGGUUCAUGACUGGGGUGAAGUCGUAACAAGGUAGCGCUAGGGGAACCUGGCGCUGGAUCACCUCCUUAUACGAUGAU